UAAUACAGAGGGUGCGAGCGUUAAUCGGAAUGACUGGGCGUAAAGGGCGCGUAGGCGGUGGAAUAAGUGGUAGGUGAAAGCCCCGGGCUCAACCUGGGAAGUGCCUAUCAAACUGUUUGACUGGAGUGCAGGAGAGGGCAGUAGAAUUUCCGGUGUAGCGGUGAAAUGCGUAGAGAUCGGAAGGAAUGCCGGUGGCGAAGGCGACUGCCUGGCCUGACACUGACGCUGAGGCGCGAAAGCGUGGGGAGCGAACAGGAUUAGAUACCCUGGUAGUCCACGCUGUAAACGAUGAAGACUAGAUGUAGGAGGGGGAACCCUUCUGUAUCGAAGCUAACGCGAUAAGUCUUCCGCCUGGGAAGUACGGCCGCAAGGUUG
rnacentral:rRNA from 1 species